rfam:Parcubacteria (Nomurabacteria) bacterium GW2011_GWA1_46_11 TX31_C0014, whole genome shotgun sequence.
GGGCCCGUGGUAUACCGGUAACACAUCUCCAUGGCAUGGAGAAGUAGCGGGUUCAAUUCCCGCCGGGUCCA